rnacentral:tRNA from 2 species
GCCGCUGUGGUGGAAUGGUAGACACAAGAGACUUAAAAUCUCUAGCCUGUAUGGGCGUACCGGUUCGAGUCCGGUCAGCGGCACCA